CAGCAGCCGCGGUAAUACAGAGGGUGCGAGCGUUAAUCGGAAUUACUGGGCGUAAAGCGCGCGUAGACGGUUUUGUAAGUCAGAUGUGAAAUCCCUGGGCUCAACCUGGGAACUGCAUUUGAAACUGCAUGGCUAGAGUAUCGAAGAGGGAAAUGGGAUUUCCGGUGUAGCGGUGAAAUGCGUAGAUAUCGGAAGGAACACCAGUGGCGAAAGCGACUUCCUGGUCGAAUACUGACGUUCAUGUGCGAAAGCGUGGGGAGCAAACAGGAUUAGAUACCCCCGUAGUCCCUGUCUCUUAUAC
rnacentral:rRNA from 1 species